GUGAUCCCAUGUUAAUAACAGCAGCCAGCUGUAUUACUCUCAGCUGUUUCAGGAGAGUGAGCCAAACCAGCCAUACAGGUGAGGGUGCAGAGCUGGCAGAGGGAAUCGAUCCUAGUGAAUACAAGGUCGAUCAAACUGCUUCUAAAAACCAACUCUUUCGAUGAUGUGAAACAUGGAUUUCCUGAAAUAUGAAAGGAAUGAUUUGUUCUACCGUUGCUAAUGGCUGAAGGCAAAUACUCACGAGACUGAAUUAAUAAAACUACUACUACCUUCAUACUGCUGCAGCUGAAGGCUCUCCUGGGAGCGCACUGACUCAUAAGAAUGUUGCUCAUCCUUUUCAGCCCAUCCAGGAGAACAACAUGUGCAGAGCUGCGUGACCACAGCUUGUCCUUUCUGUGACAGUAUCUUUCACAAAGAGAUGUAAUUCCUCAGGCAACCAGGUCAAGUAGAGGACUUCCUUGUGCAAAAUCUACUUAGCAUCAUUGCUUGGAAAUAUGCUGAAAUUGCAGUUAAUGCACCCUUUGAUAUAUUUUCAAGCAGUUGUACUAUUGCUUCUCACUGUGUACCUCCACAGACUCUUGACGUGCAAAAAUAGAUAAAAUCAUAGAUAAAGAAAUUUGAACUUUU